rnacentral:rRNA from 1 species
CUACGUAGGGGGCGAGCGUUAUCCGGAAUUACUGGGCGUAAAGGGUGCGUAGGCGGCCUUUUAAGUCAGAUGUGAAAGGCUACGGCUUAACCGUAGUUAGCAUUUGAAACUAAAAGGCUUGAGUGCAGGAGAGGAGAGUGGAAUUCCUAGUGUAGCGGUGAAAUGCGUAGAUAUUAGGAGGAACACCAGUGGCGAAGGCGACUCUCUGGGCUGCAACUGACGCUGAGGCACGAAAGCGUGGGGAGCGAACAGGAUUAGAUACCCUGGUAGGCCACGCCGUAAACGAUGAGUGCUAGGUGUUGGUGGGGACACCCAUCAGUGCCGCAGCUAACGCAUUAAGCACUCCGCCUGGGGAGUACGGUCGCAAGACUGAA